CAACCCUCCUGCAACAGCCACCAAACCACCACCAUACCACUCUGUACAACAUCACCCCAUCUCCCUAGAACCUAAUUGUUCCACGUAACCCCCAAUCGUCUCUCACUGACCUAGAUUAGGGUUUGUUGGAACAACUAGGUUUAGGGCAUGAGAAGCACGGAGAGGAGCAGGAGGCGAAGUACAAGCAUGGGUCGAAGUGAGGGAGCAGUUAUCAGAGAAAUUAGAGCGAAAAAGAGCAGAAAAGUAGUGGAAGCCAAAAGGAAUCACGCAAGGAUGCCGCGAAAAAUGUUGCGCACAAGACCAAAUGGCUAGGAAUGGGCUUAAGGAGGAAGAAAUUUGUCUAAAAGAAGAAAUGGGCUAAGAAUUGUCUAAGCCCAAACUCUAACCUAAGCUCAAGACCAAGCCCAAGGCUCGCUCGAGUUCUUAGCCAUCAGAUCAACCCACAGAUGCAUCCAAUGGUCGCUUCAACACCGGUACAUCAAGCUGGAAGGUCCUACUUCAUACCACAACACCUAGUUCUAAUCUGAGCCAUUGGUUUAGAUGUAUUUUGCAUCUAACGGUCGCUCAAGACAUGCUCCCAUCUCACCGUUGGAUCCACCUAUCAUCUUCACAUCCAACGCAUUUCCUCGCAAAUCAUCCUCCCUUGCUACACCCGCUCAACACCCUAGUGACCUAACCCUAUACCCUAAAACUAUCGACCACUUCUUCUUCUUCUUCUCUUUCUUUCUUCUCUUCAUCCGUCUGCAACUCUACCACCACCACCACCACCCCUGUCGCCACCAACCCUCCUGCAACAGCCACCAAACCACCACCAUACCACUCUGUACAACAUCACCCCAUCUCCCUAGAACCUAAUUGUUCCACCUAACCCCCAACCGUCUCUCACUGACCUAGAUUAGGGUUUGUUGGAACAACUAGGUUUAGGGCAUGAGAAGCACGGAGAGGAGCAGGAGGCGAAGUACAAGCAUGGGUCGAAGUGAGGGAGCAGUUAUCAGAGAAAUUAGGUAAAAAUUGUGUAACCCUAAUUUUACUGUUUUGGGGAUUUUUUGGGGAAGAACAUAUGGAACCCUAAUUCAUAGUUUUGGGUAUAAAUAAAAGGGAUUGUUGUGCUGUGUAGCA